AGAGUUUGAUCCUGGCUCAGGAUGAACGCUAGCGGCAGGCCUAAUACAUGCAAGUCGAACGGUAAGGCCCUUUCGGGGGGUACACGAGUGGCGACGGGUGCGUAACGCGUAUGCAACAUACCUUCAAGCGGGGGAUAUGCCAGGGAAACUUGGUGCAACACCCCAUAGCAUUUCGGGACCGCAUGGUCUUGGGGAUUAAAUAUUUAUAGCUUGGAGAUUGGCAUGCGUGACAUUAGCUAGUUGGCGGGGUAACGGCCCACCAAGGCGACGAUGUCUAGCUGGGUCUGAGAGGAUGAUCAGCCACACUGGGACUGAGACACGGCCCAGACUCCUACGGGAGGCAGCAGUAGGGAAUAUUGGACAAUGGGGGGAACCCUGAUCCAGCCAUGCCGCGUGAGGGGAAGAAGGGUCCUCUGGAUUGUAAACCUCUUUUGGCGGGGGACAAACCUGCACUAUACGUGCAGCUGAGGGUACCCGCAGAAUAAGCACCGGCUAACUCCGUG
rnacentral:rRNA from 1 species